CAGCCGAUACUCAGUACCACCAGUGCCACUAGCAGCUCUUUUUCUAAAUCGAGCAUAAAAUGAAUGGACUUAAAGCCUGUAACUGAGAGGUAUUCUUCGUACUCACAGGACCGUGGAACUACCACCUGCCUCUGGUUCCUGACCUCGCCCCGCAUCAGGGGUUUGCCGAUUCCGGACAUUUCAUGUCAGGGGCGUCAGGCCAUGGGGCGCCUUCUGUGCCCGGCUUCUGUCCCCGGCAUCGCGCCCGGACUGCUUCACCCACGUGGCGGCAGGUGUCUGAGCUCACUGCUUCCGAAGGCUGAACACGGUUCCGUGGUGCAGACAGGCUGCGCUUUGUUUAUCUGUUCCUCCAUCAGGGACGCCAGGCUGCUUGGGCCCACUGCUGCGAGCCUGCGCAG